rnacentral:rRNA from 1 species
ACACGUGAGUAACCUGCCCUGGACUCUGGGAUAACCCCGAGAAAUCGGAGCUAAUACCGGAUAGGACCUUUCCUCGCAUGAGGUUUGGUGGAAAGUUUUUCGGUCUGGGAUGGACUCGCGGCCUAUCAGCUUGUUGGUGAGGUAAUGGCUCACCAAGGCGUCGACGGGUAGCCGGCCUGAGAGGGUGACCGGCCACACUGGGACUGAGACACGGCCCAGACUCCUACGGGAGGCAGCAGUGGGGAAUAUUGCACAAUGGGCGCAAGCCUGAUGCAGCAACGCCGCGUGCGGGAUGACGGCCUUCGGGUUGUAAACCGCUUUUAGUAGGGAAGAAGGGCUUCGGCUUGACGGUACCUGCAGAAAAAGGACCGGCUAACUACGUGCCAGCAGCCGCGGUAAUACGUAGGGUCCGAGCGUUGUCCGGAAUUAUUGGGCGUAAAGAGCUCGUAGGCGGUUUGUCGCGUCUGCUGUGAAAACUAGAGGCUCAACCUCUAGCCUGCAGUGGGUACGGGCAGACUUGAGUGGUGUAGGGGAGACUGGAAUUCCUGGUGUAGCGGUGGAAUGCGCAGAUAUCAGGAGGAACACCGAUGGCGAAGGCAGGUCUCUGGGCACUUACUGACGCUGAGGAGCGAAAGCGUGG